rnacentral:rRNA from 1 species
UACAGGGGGUGCAAACGUUGCUCGGAAUCAUUGGGCGUAAAGCGCACGUAGGCGGUUCGUUAUGUCGGAUGUGAAAGCCCUUGGCUUAACCGAGGAAGUGCAUCCGAAACCGGCGAGCUAGAGUACUAAAGAGGAUCGCGGAAUUCCCGGUGUAGAGGUGAAAUUCGUAGAUAUCGGGAGGAACACCGGUGGCGAAGGCGGCGAUCUGGGUAGAUACUGACGCUGAGGUGCAAAAGCGUGGGGAGCAAACAGG